UACGUAGGUGGCAAGCGUUGUCCGGAUUUACUGGGCGUAAAGGGCGUGCAGGCGGUUUCUUAAGUCUGAUGUGAAAGCCCACGGCUCAACCGUGGAGGGUCAUUGGAAACUGGGGAACUUGAGUGCAGGAGAGAAGAGUGGAAUUCCACGUGUAGCGGUGAAAUGCGUAGAGAUGUGGAGGAACACCAGUGGCGAAGGCGGUUCUCUGGGACGGUACUGACGCUGAGACGCGAAAGCGUGGGGAGCGAACAGG
rnacentral:rRNA from 1 species